AAAGGGAGACCUAAUUCGGGUAUGGGAUGAAAAAAAAGUAGUCCCAACCAAGAAUCAAUCCCAAAAGGUCGGAGCGAGGCGAAAUUGGCUUUCAAACUAGGUUCUGGGUUCACAGAAGACCUGAAUCAGGAACAAGGGCUAUUAGCUCAGGUGGUUAGAGCGCACCCCUGAUAAGGGUGAGGUCCCUGGUUCGGGUCCAGGAUGGCCCACCUGCACAGGUGGUAAAAACAAGAGAAGCGAGGAAUCAGCACCUUAUCUUACUUACAUAGUAAGAGAGAAUGCUGGCUCUGAGUAAAGAGUCCAGAGGAACCUUGAAAACUGCAUAGAGCUAGGUGAAAAAGCCAAAAAAGAAGACCGCAAG
rnacentral:tRNA from 1 species